rnacentral:tRNA from 1 species
GGGCCUAUAGCUCAGCGGUUAGAGCAGGAGACUCAUAAUCUCUUGGUCCCAGGUUCGAAUCCUGGUGGGCCCA